CCUCCUUUUCUUGGUGGGAACUGGGCAUAUGGUCCCCCUCCGGGUUAUGUGCAGAGGCAGAGGGAAAGGCCUCCCGCCCCCUCAGGGUCACGUCGCUGGUGGCUUUCUAUUUGCUGGUUCUAUCUUCAAGUGCUGAGACACUG
ensembl:snoRNA